GACCCCAGGUCAGGCGGGAACACCCGCUGAGUUUAA
rnacentral:rRNA from 1 species